rnacentral:rRNA from 1 species
AUGAGAAAGACAACUAAGGCUCCAUAUCCUCCAUAUCCUCAUACCGAAGGCUCAUCUAGGAGCCAACCUAAUAGAGUGGAAGAAAAGGCCACUCCACCAAAGACAAAACAGCCAAUCCCGAAACAAACUAGAAGCAAGGGUAAGGCAAAUGAAGGCCCAAAGUGCUAUAAAUGUGGUAAAGAGGGACACGUAUCCAGCGGUUGCCCACUAAGGAAAUUUGUUAACACGACUAUCCAUGAUGGUGAAAGCGAUGAGGAAGAAUACGAAUCUGAAGAUGUAGACGGACAAGAGGUUUGUCAAGAAGAAGGCGAAGAGGUGGUAUGUGUGAUCCAGCGUCUCCUAUGUUCCACACCACAACUCGAUGACACACAACGGAAGAAAAUACUUGAGAGCAAAUGCACGGUGAAUGGCAAGGUAUGCAAACUAGUGAUUGAUAGUUGCAGCCGCGAGAAUCUUAUCUCCCAGAAGUUGGUGGACCAUUUAAAGCUUGAAAUCCAUGAUCAUCCGAAUCCCUACACUAUUGGAUGGAUCAAGAAAGGAGUGAAUAUGAGGAUCACCAAACAAUGCAACCUGCCACUUUCUUUGGGUAAGCAUUAUCGCUCAAAUGUGUUGUGUGAUGUGGUUGACAUGGAUGCCAGCCAUGUUCUUCUUGGGAGGCCUUGGCAAUUUGAUGUGGAUACUACACACAAGGGCAAGGAAAAUUCUUACUCUUUCAUUUGA